GCCAGUGUGGUGUAGUGGUUUGGGUUUUGGAUUAGAAUUCUGGAGACCAGGGUUGAAAUCUCUCCUCAGGCA